AUUGAACGCUGGCGGCAGGCCUAACACAUGCAAGUCGAGCGGGGUUUUCGGACCUAGCGGCGGACGGGUGAGUAAUGCGUAGGAAGCUACCCGACAGAGUGGGAUACCAGUUGGAAACGACUGUUAAUACCGCAUAAUGUCUACGGACCAAAGUGUGGGACCUUCGGGCCACAUGCUAUCGGAUGCGCCUACGUGGGAUUAGCUAGUUGGUGAGGUAAUGGCUCAUCAAGGCGACGAUCCCUAGCUGGUUUGAGAGGAUGAUCAGCCACACUGUAACGAGGACAAGGGCGAGACUCCUACGGGGGGCGGCGGUGGGGAAUAUUGGACAAUGGGCGCAAGCCUGAUCCAGCCAUGCCGAGUGGGGGAAGAAGGCCUUCGGGUUGUAAAGCACUUUCAGUAGGGAGGAAGCGUUGUGUGUUAAUAGUACACGGCGUUGACGUUACCUACAGAAGAAGCACCGGCUAACUCUGUGCCAGCAGCCGCCGUAAUAC
rnacentral:rRNA from 1 species